GACGAACGCUGGCGGCGUGCCUAAUACAUGCAAGUAGAACGCUGAAGAGAGGAGCUUGCUCUUCUUGGAUGAGUUGCGAACGGGUGAGUAACGCGUAGGUAACCUGCCUGGUAGCGGGGGAUAACUAUUGGAAACGAUAGCUAAUACCGCAUAAAAUUGAUUAUUGCAUGAUAAUUAAUUGAAAGAUGCAACUGCAUCACUACCAGAUGGACCUGCGUUGUAUUAGCUAGUUGGUGAGGUAACGGCUCACCAAGGCGACGAUACAUAGCCGACCUGAGAGAGUGAUCGGCCACACUGGGACUGAGACACGGCCCAGACUCCUACGGGAGGCAGCAGUAGGGAAUCUUCGGCAAUGGGGGGAACCCUGACCGAGCAACGCCGCGUGAGUGAAGAAGGUUUUCGGAUCGUAAAGCUCUGUUGUAAGAGAAGAACGGGUGUGAGAGUGGAAAGUUCACACUGUGACGGUAUCUUACCAGAAAGGGACGGCUAACUACGUG
rnacentral:rRNA from 1 species